ensembl:lncRNA
GCAGGAUCUGGCCUGUGAUUUAUAGAUUCAAAGGAAAUUGUUGAAUGAACACAAAAAAUCUGGGAACUCGGACAACAAUUUCAAGGCACCUGACCCAUGGAUACACAUUAGAUGCAAGGCUCAGGCUGCUGAGUUUGGUGAAGAUUGGUGCCUUGUCCUGUGAGUGCCAGUGCCCCCCACCUUACAGACUGAAGAGAACCUCAAACAAGAUAUCUAACUCUGAAGUGGGAUAAGGAAGAUAUAUACCAUUCAUACCUGGGAGGAGAGGAAGAAAAUAUACUGAAAAGAUAUCUUGGACAUAAGGCUACCUUUUGGAAGACAUGGUUGCAAGCCUAGUUUUUUCCUAUCUAAUUUCUCUGCCAUUGGUUCUUGAGAAGAAACCUAAUGAGGAAGACUUCUUUGUGGAAGAGUGGGAAUCACAGAAGAGGAGAAACAAUCCUUCAGCAAGAAACAAUACAUCACCAACAGCUUCUUUCCUUUCCUUGUUGGAGGAGGAGGAUGACAGCAGUUUCACACCCUACAUUGAAAUGCCUUGGUUCCCAAAGGGACACCUGAACUGCUGAGUAUCCAGUGUGAGUCAGAAAGGGUUGGAGUCCAGCUAUGAAUCGGGAUUGGUGGGGGUCAUAGUGAGGCCCCUGGCACAGCUCUAUGAGUGCUUGUGGGCCACUGGCCAGGUACCAGAGGAUUGGAAAAGGGCCAGUGUGGGGAGAAAAGAGGACCCCAGCAAUUAUAGGAUGUCAGUCUUACCUUGGUUCUUGGGAAGACCUUUGAGAAAAUUAUCAAGGAGCACAUCUGCAAGGGCCCACCAUGGGAUGUAAUGCUCAGGGCCAACUAACAUGGGUUCAUUGAGGGCAGGUCCUGCCUGACUCACCUGGUUUCUUUUUAUGAUCAGGUCACAAAGUCCCUGGAUGAGGGCGUUGGGGUGGAUGUUGUCUUCCUGAACUUUAAGAAGGCCUUUGACACAGCUUCCCACCACAUUCUCUUAAAAAAAACUUGGUGACUGCGGCAUUGAUGCCUACAUACUCAGAUGGGUGACAAAUUGACUAGAUGGUCACACCCAGAGUGUGGUGGUGGAUGGGUCGUUUUCGACCUGGAGGGGUGUGGGCAGUGGAGUCCCCCAGGGCUCAGUCCUGGGGCCUGUAUUGUUCAACAUAUUUAUCAGCAAUCUGGAUGUGGGUGUGGAAUGCACACUGUCCAAAUUCGCUGGCAACACCAAGUUGUGGGGUGAGGUGGGCACGCUGGAGGGGAGGGAAAGAAUAGGUUACAGGGGUGAGCAGAUGAGAAUAGGAUGGAAUUUAACACAGACAAGUGCAAGGUGCUGCAUCUAGGGAGAAGGAACCAGCAAGACACCUAAAGGCUGCAGAACAUCCUUCUUGUCAACACGGUGACAGAAAGGGAUCUUGGAGUCAUUGUUGACUCCGGGAUGAACAUGAGCUGCCAAUGGGAGGAAGCGGUCAGUAAGGCUAACCGCAUCUUGUUGCAAAAAAGGCAUGCUUUCACUGCAGGUAGCUAACACCCAUUCGCCAUCCUGCUGCAGAAACCCUGUGGCCAUAAGUCACUGUG